GCACUUGGGAAGUUUGUGAAAAAUCCGCGAAGUGAAGAGAAUUUUCUUUGCCGUCUAAGAUGUGUCAAGUGGUCUUCUUGAUCAGAAAUUCAAUUACAUCGACAUCAGAGGAACCGUAGAUCUAUAUCCAUGGAUUAUCUCCAUCUUCACAACCUUGAAUUACUAAGAGCUACCUUUGCCAAGACGUGGGCUACUUGAUGCUAAAAAUCCAUCAGAAUCUUACGAGGAUGGGCCACUUCGAGAUCGGUAUCGACUGUCAAAAAAAAACCGACAUGUACGUCACCAAUAUGCUGGAAGUUGAAUUGAAGAGGGACACACAGAAGAAUGAUCCACUUCCUGUUUAUUUGCAGGCGUUGACAACUCUCCGUUUUUAUGCAGUGGGAUCAUUUCAAAAGAUGCAUGAUGAUGAGGCAGCAAUAUCGCAGUCAUCAAUGUGUCGGAUCAUCAAAGAUGUGUCGGAAGCUAUACAAUUCCUUUGACAAGAGAAGAAGUUGAAGCAACUCAGCGACAGUUCUACCAGUACUGUUAGAUUUCCAGGAGUGAAAGGUGCAAUUGAUGGGACACAUGUCUACAUCAAGAGCCCGGGGGGGGGGGGGGAUUGGGCAAUAUGCUUCCUAUAUACCCCAUUCCAACUUCAUGUGGAGAGGAAUGCCUAUAACAAUGGCAAAAGUAUUAAGAACAUAGAAAAGCAGAGUUCAUUCAAAUUUAUGAAGAAUACUUUACUUCUUUAUUUGUUAAUAAAUUGAUUGGUAUAACCCUGUGAUUCUAGCAGCUUAGCUUUAGCAACCUCUCUUUCUUUAUUCAAAACGUCCAUUCAUAGUUCAUGCUCCUUCAAGCUCAUAUCGUGCUCUUUCAAUCUAAUAUCAUGCUCUUUCAAUCUCAUAUCGUGUUCUUUCACUCUCAUCUUGUACUCUUUAAAGUCGAGAUCAUGUUUCUUCCAUUGAACUUUAAUUCUAACGGCAUGCACUUCUACCAGCUCAAACACUUCUGACAGAUGAUUUUUUUUCCUUGAGAUGGGUAAUUCAAAUUCCAUUUUGCAGAAGAAGGAAGGUUUGUAGUAUUGCUGCAGGGUUAAAAUUCAAUAUUGAAAUGCAUUUAAGUACCAGUACAUAACAUAGUAACAGUGCAGUUUGUAAGAAACAUACUAUAAAUCACGUUGUCAAAGAUGUGUUGUUUAACGUACUAGUAACUCUCUACUUGAUUGGUUCAGCUUCUGACACCAAUGACAUUGGGGAGUUCUCUGAUUGUUCUCGGAACCAUAAAUUGCAUUUUGGAAAACAUUAAAGACUUACCCGGUAAUUAUAAAAUUUCUUUAAAAACAGAAAAUAAUGCAAUGCUUUCUUUUCAGAAGCAUACAAUAAUCAGUGCACAGUUCAUUGAAUCGCUUGAAUCUGGUAACAUACAUAUAUUGAAGCCCUUUUCAUACUUCAAAUGAUUCACCCUCCCAGUUCAGUUAUAUAAAUCCCUCUUCACCUCUAAAUACCUUACUACAUAUCUGUAGUAUAUUCAGAUUAUUUUGUGUGUACCAGUGUAUUGUGCAUCCAAUUAACAUGAUCUUGUAAUUAAAUGUACAUGUACUUGAUUUGGGGAUCAUGUUUAAUUUGUUAAAGUAUUUAACAUCUAUUUCAACUACAUCUGAUUUAUGAGUCUGGUCAAAGAGAUAUUCUGGCAGAAAGGGUUAAUGGAAAAAAGGCAUUGUAAUUUUAAUGGUACUAAAUUACCUUGAAGAGGAAUGUGAUUUUGAAGAAGGUCCAUCAGUCUGGGAACGUUUCCUUGAUAACUCGGACAGAAAUGAAUUUGUAGAAUUUGUCCUCGUGGUGAAAAAAAUAGAUGAACUUCUGUUCUUAUGCAGGUUUAUAAAUUUCAACAAUGUGUCACAUUCAUCUCAGUUGGGAGGGUUUUAUUAUUUUGUUUCAAGGAAAGUGAUGAAUACUCUUGAUCAUGUAAUUAUAUUAUGAUUUGGGAAGUAUUUUGAGCGGUCCACUUUGUGAGAUAGCUUUUAUUCAAAAUAGCUUAAACUGGACAUGGAGUUUUCACAUUUGCAAUCAUUAUUUGUGUAUUAAUUGCAACAAGCAU